UACGGAGGGUGCGAGCGUUACUCGGAAUUACUGGGCGUAAAGCGUGCGCAGGCGGCCCGUUAAGACAGGUGUGAAAUCCCUGGGCUCAACCUAGGAAUUGCGCUUGUGACUGGCGGGCUCGAGUACGGUAGAGGGGGGUGGAAUUCCUGGUGUAGCAGUGAAAUGCGUAGAGAUCAGGAGGAACACCGAUGGCGAAGGCAGCCCCCUGGGCCUGUACUGACGCUCAUGCACGAAAGCGUGGGGAGCAAACAGG
rnacentral:rRNA from 1 species